UGAGCCAUAUUAUAAUAUUUCGCUGCGGGUCGGUUGCGUCGGUUGCGGUCACCGUAUAUCGUCGCGUCCGAUAGUGUAAUGGCCAUCACCUUAGGCUUCCGGCCUGUUUAGCUCUACGUUUAUAAAUACGCCACUGAAUUAAUGUGUGACAGGAGUAUUUACACGGUGAUGGGAUUUCAGUGUCGAGCACUCUCUGUUUCGCUUCACACUCUGCGGCCACAUUUAUUGUAAUGGCGGUCUCCCGAGUGUCGUCUAGGUCAGCGGUUCCCAAACAUUUUAAUGGACGGCGCCUUUUUUUCGGAUCUCGUUCGACCGCGGGGCUCU